AAAGCCCCUGGAGGCAUUGCAGGUGUGGCUGCUAUGUCAUAUGUGUAUUGGUAGGUGGCAGAGGGCAGAGAGGCUAUGCUCAGUGUUUUGAUCUAUGAACAUCUGAAUAAUCAUUAGUCUAUUAGU
ensembl:snoRNA Gm25723 small nucleolar RNA SNORA17